UACAGAGGGGGCAAGCGUUAUUCGGAAUUAUUGGGCGUAAAGGGCGCGUAGGCGGCCGUGCAAGUGGAAGGUGAAAUCCCUCGGCUCAACCGAGGAACUGCCUUUCAAACUGCAUGGCUUGAGUCCGGGAGAGGUGAGUGGAAUUCCCAGUGUAGCGGUGAAAUGCGUAGAUAUUGGGAAGAACACCAGUGGCGAAGGCGGCUCACUGGACCGGAACUGACGCUGAGGCGCGAAAGCGUGGGGAGCAAACGGG
rnacentral:rRNA from 1 species